rnacentral:rRNA from 1 species
GAUGAACGCUGGCGGCGUGCCUAAUACAUGCAAGUCGAGCGAACAGAUAAGGAGCUUGCUCCUUUGACGUUAGCGGCGGACGGGUGAGUAACACGUGGGUAACCUACCUAUAAGACUGGAAUAACUCCGGGAAACCGGGGCUAAUGCCGGAUAACAUUUAGAACCGCAUGAUUCUAAAGUGAAAGAUGGUUUUACUAUCACUUAUAGAUGGACCCGCGCCGUAUUAGCUAGUUGGUAAGGUAACGGCUUACCAAGGCAACGAUACGUAGCCGACCUGAGAGGGUGAUCGGCCACACUGGAACUGAGACACGGUCCAGACUCCUACGGGAGGCAGCAGUAGGGAAUCUUCCGCAAUGGGCGAAAGCCUGACGGAGCAACGCCGCGUGAGUGAUGAAGGUCUUCGGAUCGUAAAACUCUGUUAUUAGGGAAGAACAAAUGUGUAAGUAACUGUGCACGUCUUGACGGUACCUAAUCAGAAAGCCACGGCUAACUACGUG